rnacentral:rRNA from 1 species
UACGGAGGGGGCUAGCGUUGUUCGGAAUUACUGGGCGUAAAGAGUGUGUAGGCGGUGUUCUAAGUUUGGUGUGAAAUCUCCCGGCUCAACUGGGAGGGUGCGCCGAAAACUGGAAUGCUAGAGUAUGGGAGAGGUAAGCGGAAUUCCUGGUGUAGCGGUGAAAUGCGUAGAUAUCAGGAGGAACACCUGUGGUGUAGACAGCUUACUGGACCAUCACUGACGCUGAGACACGAAAGCGUGGGGAGCAAACAGG